rnacentral:lncRNA from 1 species
AGAGAUUUCAAAAGGCCUACAGAUCUCUCCUUCGUUGGGGACCCUGCCUCCUCGGCACGGCUCCCUGCAUGGGAGGACUGUCCCAUUCAAACUGCGAGGGGACAAAAGCAGCUGUCUUUCCAGGGGGUGAAAAACAAUAGCAUCAAGUCUUCCCAUAAACCUCAACAAACAUGCAAACACAGACGUGAAAAUAGGAAUUACAAACCCAAGCAGUGUGGAAAUGGGACUCAAACUCAAGACUUCCGCCUGUCUUUUUCAAGAUUCGGAGAAUGAACUCAGCACGCCUGCUGCAUCUUAAGGCAGAGAGCCAGCUCCAUGAGGACCGCGACACUGCGUCCAGGACAGUUUGCAAAGAUUGCAGCAGUGCCUAGGGCGUUCGCUGUGAUGCAAUGGAUCAACGGUGUCUCUGCAGCCACAGGAAUGCAGGUUCCAUCCUGAGCCCGGCACAGCGGGUUAAGGAUCCAGUGUUGCCCUAGCUGCAGUGUAGGUCACAACUCUGGCUUGGAUUCAGACCCCAGCCUGGGAACUCCAUAGGUGUGGGAAGGCCAAAAAAGAGGGAAAAAAAGAAAAAGUAAAAGAAAAAAAAGAUUGCAGCAGCUCUUUGAGUGACCCAAUCCUCCAAGUUUUCAAUUCACCGAAAGCUUCUCUAGACACAGUUUGGAAAGGGUGUAGCAUCAUGUUGCAGCAAGGUUAUCCAAC